CUCUCUUCGCCUCAAAGUUUUUUAGGGUUUUCUUCUCUUUCGCCGUUGUCUCCUCUCUCUCUCUUCUCUAGGGUUUUUCAUCGUCGCCGCUCUCUCACCUUUCUCUCCUCUCUAGGGUUUUUCGUCGUCGCCGCUCUCUCACCUUUCUCUCUUCUCUAGGGUUUUUCGACCUCUUCAACAGUAUCCGCCCCUAUCCUUUUAUACUCACCAUGUUAGGGUUUUAGAUUCGGCUUAUGGAGAUCAAAAGAGUAUCCCUUGGAAGUGCUUUAAGGUGCUUCAGCUUUGUCUGCCUCUUUUGACGCUUGACCUGGAAAAGGUAAUAUGAACCACGUACUUUCCUCUUGAAUUUUCCUUAAUUCCUCUUUUGGGUCGCUGUUGAACUUUACUGCCUUGCUGAGUUAACGUGCUUUUUUACUGCAGUAAAACGCGAGCAAAAGAAUGGAAAGCAACAACAGGUCCACUGUGUAUCUUCUUCCUCAAAACUAUGGCCACCUCUCACAAUUCGAUGUUAUUUUGCUGCAGGAAAUACGUUACGUGAUGUGAGCGUAAGGGUUGGUUUCCAACUCCUGAGACUGAUGCGAUCUUGGGUUCUUGCUGAGAUUUAUUCAAAG
rnacentral:lncRNA from 1 species